rnacentral:rRNA from 1 species
ACAGCAGCAGCCGCGGUAAUACGGAGGAUCCGAGCGUUAUCCGGAUUUAUUGGGUUUAAAGGGUGCGUAGGUGGCCUGUUAAGUCAGGGGUGAAAGACGGUAGCUUAACUAUCGCAGUGCCCUUGAUACUGAUGGGCUUGAAUGAACUAGAGGUAGGCGGAAUGUGACAAGUAGCGGUGAAAUGCAUAGAUAUGUCACAGAACACCAAUUGCGAAGGCAGCUUACUAUGGUUUUAUUGACACUGAGGCACGAAAGCGUGGGGAUCAAACAGGAUUAGAUACCCGCGUAGUCCCUGUCUCUUAUAC